AAUGCAAGCUCGCUGAGAGCAGUGGCCUUGUGUGGCUUGUUCAACGCUGUACUCCAAAGACCUGAAACUGUGCCUGGCUUACCAAUCUUCAGAGGUCCUGAAUGAUGACUGACGCGGGUUGGUGUGAUAGCCCUCACAGUCCCUGUCAUUCCCCAGUGAUAAGGGACGCGCAAGUCUAGCCCCAGCACCAGGGUAAAAAGAAGGGGAAAAAAGAAAGAAAAAG